AUCAGUGGCACCGCAGCAGCUAUCAUCCUGACUAGAGUCAUCGGCUUAUGAGCCAUCCGCAGAUCCUUCGACUUCUUCACAGCCUCACUCAGGUCAUGUUAGUUCUUCAUCAACCUCGAGUAGGCGUGGUAGAGGAUGUGCCAAGGGCAUUAGGGAGUGGGGUACCGGUACCAAAUUGGACAUACAAUUUGAUGAAAAUUACUGUCCAAUAGGGGAUAACGUGUCUAAGUUAACUACUCAACUUGGCAUUAUUGUGCGAAAUGGUAACAUUGUUCCUCUUACUUUUCUUGACUGGAACACCGUA